GUGGGGAAUAUUGGACAAUGGGCGCAAGCCUGAUCCAGCCAUGCCGCGUGAGUGAUGAAGGCCUUAGGGUUGUAAAGCUCUUUCAGUAGGGAAGAUAAUGACGGUACCUACAGAAGAAGCCCCGGCUAACUUCGUGCCAGCAGCCGCGGUAAUACGAAGGGGGCUAGCGUUGUUCGGAUUUACUGGGCGUAAAGCGCACGUAGGCGGUUUGUUAAGUCAGGGGUGAAAUCCCGGAGCUCAACUCCGGAACUGCCUUUGAUACUGGCAAGCUAGAGUCCGGAAGAGGUAAGUGGAACUCCUAGUGUAGAGGUGGAAUUCGUAGAUAUUAGGAAGAACACCAGUGGCGAAGGCGGCUUACUGGUCCGGAACUGACGCUGAGGUGCGAAAGCGUGGGGAGCAAAUAGGAUUAGAUACCCCGGUAGUCC
rnacentral:rRNA from 1 species